GUGCUCACUUCGGCAGCACAUAUACUAAAAAUUGGAAUACAGAGAUAAAGCAUGGCCCUUGUGCAAAAAUGACACACAAAUUCGUGAAGCAUUCCGUAUUUUU
ensembl:snRNA U6 U6 spliceosomal RNA